AUGAUCAACCAUAUUCCAAGUUCUUUAAAAGCAUGUAGCUUGUUCAUAUAUGGUAUCUAUGAGCUAGGCUUGGAGAGACACUAUUAUAGGGGGGUUCCUUUGUUCGAGGAGUGUCUAGUGAUAGAGGAAAAGAGUUGUAUUGGCAAUGAGAUCAUAAUCAAUCCUUCUCUUCUACAGCAGCCUUGGGGAUUGUUCAGAUGCUACAUGACAUAG